GAUGAACGCUGGCGGCGUGCCUAAUACAUGCAAGUCGAGCGAACAGACGAGGAGCUUGCUCCUCUGGCGUUAGCGGCGGACGGGUGAGUAACACGUGGAUAACCUACCUAUAAGACUGGGAUAACUUCGGGAAACCGGAGCUAAUACCGGAUAAUAUAUUGAACCGCAUGGUUCAAUAGUGAAAGACGGUUUUGCUGUCACUUAUAGAUGGAUCCGCGCCGCAUUAGCUAGUUGGUAAGGUAACGGCUUACCAAGGCAACGAUGCGUAGCCGACCUGAGAGGGUGAUCGGCCACACGGGACCUGAGACACGGUCCAGACCCCGACGGGAGGCAGCAGUAGGGAAUCUUCCGCAAUGGGCGAAAGCCUGACGGAGCAACGCCGCGUGAGUGAUGAAGGUCUUCGGAUCGUAAAACUCUGUUAUUAGGAAGAACAAAUGUGUAAGUAACUAUGCACGUCUUGACGGUACCUAAUCAGAAAGCCACGGCUAACUACGUG
rnacentral:rRNA from 1 species